AAAAGCUUAGCCUGGUUAGAGCUAGCAGGACAAAAGGGAGCCAGUGCAACUUGUAACUCACUCUCAUUUUUACCUGACUUGACAUCGGCACAAAGACGGGAUAAAUCAUUCGUAAUAGAAUUACCAUACUCUUGCCCAUGGCGAAGUAAUUCUUUUCCGAUUAAAAUCUUUGCUUUUGGAAUAGAGCUAAGGUGAAACAUAACAGAAAGAGCAUUUUGAAAAGUUCGACUAGAACAAGAAUCAGUAGUAAUUAGGCUAGCAGCGAGUCGAAGAUUUUCAUCUAAAAUAUUCGGCGGCGACAGAAUCUUUUUAUCCUUUCGGGACGCAGUAGUACCAGGGUCCUGUUUCGGAACAGUAGACCCUCGAGAAUCUUGAUCAUUAGUAUAUCC